GCACCAAUGACGAGUCCCAAACAGGACGAAACAGCUGUCCAGUGC
rnacentral:hammerhead_ribozyme from 1 species